AGUGAACGCUGGCGGUAGGCCUAACACAUGCAAGUCGAACGGCAGCACAGUAAGAGCUUGCUCUUACGGGUGGCGAGUGGCGGACGGGUGAGGAAUACAUCGGAAUCUACUUUUUCGUGGGGGAUAACGUAGGGAAACUUACGCUAAUACCGCAUACGACCUACGGGUGAAAGCAGGGGAUCUUCGGACCUUGCGCGAUUGAAUGAGCCGAUGUCGGAUUAGCUAGUUGGCGGGGUAAAGGCCCACCAAGGCGACGAUCCGUAGCUGGUCUGAGAGGAUGGUCAGCCACACUGGAACGGAGACACGGUCCAGACUCCUACGGGAGGCAGCAGAGGGGAAUAUUGGACAGUGGGCGCAAGCCUGAUCCAGCCAUACCGCGUGGGUGGAGAAGGCCUUCGGGUUGUAAAGCCCUUUUGUUGGGAAAGAAAAGCAGCAGGUUAAUACCCCGCUGUUCUGACGGUACCCAAAGAAUAAGCACCGGCUAACUUCGUG
rnacentral:rRNA from 1 species